rnacentral:lncRNA from 1 species
UUUAACUAAAUUCGUGAUCACCUAAGCUAAGAGAUCAAAAGGUAUGUCAAAUUUUGUGGAGGCUUGGGAAAGAAGCGGGUCAACGGAUACAGCCUCAUAACCAACACCUAUCAUGAUUUGCCAAAUUGGGUUAGCAAAGGAAUCAAAGUUCAUCUUCAAGUUGAAAGAGAAAUUUUUAACCAAAAUAAUCGACCAUUUUUAAUGCCUCCACACAUGAAUAAAUAAAUACAAAAGAGUUAAUUGCCAAAAUCAUCCCUGAGGUUUGGCCAGGUUUGUCAUUUUCGUCUAAAAUUACACUUUUAUACUAAAUUGCCCCCAACGUUUGUAAGUUUUUGCAAUUUUCAUCCAAACCACUAACUUAGUUUAUUUUUUCUGUUUAGUUGGGGAUAUUUGGAUGAAACUGGCAAAUAUAAAACCAUAGGGACGAUU